ensembl:lncRNA
GGGAUUCUUGAAGAGAAAAUGCAUCAUUGUCGGGUUACAUGGGGGAUUUCCAAAGAGAAAUCGCCUUUUUUUUUUUUUUUUUUCUGGUUAAAUGGGGGAUUUUUGAAGAGAAAAUGCGUGAUUUUCAGAUUAAAUGGGGGAUUGUUGAAGGGAAAAUGUGUGAUUUUUGGAUUUAAACAGCUAUUUUUUGUAGAGAAUAGGCAUGAUUUUUGGUUUACAAGAGGGAUUCUCAAAGAGAAAAUGCAUUAUGUUUGUUUAAGUGGGGUAUUUUUGAAGGGAAAAUGUGUGAUUUUCGGGUUAAAUGGGGGAUUCUCGAAGAGAAAUUGUGUUUUUUUCUGGUUAAAUGGGGGAUUUCCGAAGAGAAAAUGCAUGAUUUUCGUUUAGAUGUGAGGUUUUUGUAGAGGAAAUGCGUGAUUUUUUGGAUACAUGGGGGAUUCUUGUAGCAAAAAUGUUUGAUUUUGGGGUCCAAUGGGGGAUUUUUGAAGAGCAGAAGUGUGAUUUUCACGUUAAAUGGGGGGUUUUCCGUGAGAAAAUGUGUGAUUUGGGGGAUAAUGGGGUAUUUUUGAAGAGAUAAAGCAUGAUUUUGGGGUAAA